UGGGGGCCAUUCGAUAAGGGCUUUAGAAAUCAGACCUGCAUUAGGUGUCAAUGGUAAAUUCAAUUUCUCUGUUCGGUGGUAGUUCAGAUAAAUCAUCAAUGAAUACAUCCAAAAAUUUAUUCACAACAGGAAUAUCCUGUAAUCUCAAUUCAUCAUGUUCUAUAUUCUUUAUCGAAACUAGAUAACCUCUACAUCCCUUUCUUA
rnacentral:lncRNA from 1 species